ACUGUUAUCCUUCUCCUUGCUAUAGAUAUGUUUCAGCAAUCCAUGCAUUGAACUUAGUGCUGAAGAACUCUCUGGGAGGGGGAGGGGUGGCAUCACUCAGGAGUGACCCACAGGGUAAAGCCUAUGGGCAGAUGCUGCUGGAUUUCAAGCAU